UGCUGGAGGCAAGAUUUAAGUCUGCAACUGCCAGGAAGUCCAGACACAGGAAAUCCUGGGGUGAAGUGUUAGUAUUUUCCCAGUGUGGGCGGGACUACAGGAAGCCACCAGCAGCCUCCGGAUAUUUGUCUCUCUCCCUGCCCCCUCAGAGCAUGGGAAAGGCUGACACGUGGUAUCCAGGAGCUCUGGGUCUCGGCCCUUUUUAGGUAGCAGAACCAUGUGCACCCAAAUUUUUUGGAGCUAGAAGGGUGUUGGGGAGAAUGGUUAGGACUUCUACUAGGAGUGUAGACCACACGCAAACUGAAGGGGAUCAAAAACCAGUGAAGAUGACUGAAGAUGAACCAACAUUUAAAAAGUCCUUGUCUGCUGGAGGUGGCAUUACCUGUGACCUUCUUCACUUCAUACAUGGCUGUUGUAGCAGUGGUUCUAUUUUCACACCUGGGAUAGCUGCCUAAUCUUAGAUAUUGCACCCAAGAACUGAUGGACAUCUGGAACACCCCAACCACAGACAUGACCCUCAAGACCACAGGCUGAUUGGACAUCUUCAGGAAAUACUGCAGACAGAGGCUGUGUGAGGAAGAGCAGAAAUGAGAAGACUGGGUCACGUGGAGUUUGAGUUCUUGAAGAGAGAGGAUCCCUGAUGA